CGCGGCCUGCUCUUUUGUCCUGCCCGCUGACGGCCGGUCCCCGCGCACGGUGACGCCCUGGUAGCAACGGCGACUGUCCAUCCGGGUCGACGAGUCGAGUUGUUUGGGAAUGCAUCUCUUACUGGUUGGUUUGCUCGGUCUUACGCUUAAUAUUGGCUAGUGACUUAUAGCUAACACUUACUGUGAACGAAAGAUCAAAAGAACUUUGAUACCAUAGUGAAAAAGUACGUGAAAUUGUUGAAAUGGAAGGCAAUGAGGUGCGAUUGAACCGAACGUUUGCCGACAGGACUCAAUCGCAGGCCGCCUGCGCAUUGCCUGCGUGCAUACUGCCCCCCGGACUCCCGGUUCUAACAACGCCGUAUUGCAC
rnacentral:rRNA from 1 species